GCGACUCUCUGGGGCGGGCCCUAAGGGCGGGGUCAAGCCCUCAGAGGCGGGGUCACGUGCUCACUGCCGCUGGGUUAGGGCGCAGGUUACUAGUGGUGGCGGAGGGUGAGCUCUGUAGCCGGCGGAGUCCACCGCGAGCCGUCCGGGCUGCCAGAGUCAUUGCGCCGGCAGGAUGUCCCUGGCUGCCUACUGUGUCAUCUGUUGCAGGAGGAUAGGAUCCUUUGCUCCCCGAUCAAAAAGUCGCACGCCCUGGAGAAAUAUCCGAAAUAUAAUAAGAUUUACUGGAUCCCUCAUUGUAGGGGGUUCUCUAUUUAUUACAUAUGAAGUGCUGGCCCUGAAAAAGUCUUUAAUGUUGGACACUCAGGUGGUGGAACGAGAAAAAAUGAAGUCUUACAUCUAUGUGCACAAAGCUCCUGUAGACAGGUUAGACAACCGUGGGAUUGUUUGGCAGGCAAGAAAAGAACUUCACAGAGCAGUAAGAAAACUGUUGGCGGCAGCAGCCAAGGUACUGCGGAGCCCAUUUGCUGACUCUUUCAGCACAGUUGACAUAGAAGAUCAUGACUGUGCAGUGUGGCUGCUCCUGAGGAAGAGCCGGGAGGACGAUCUAGCUGCACGGCUGCAGGCCGUGCGUGAAAUGUCAGAGGCUCACCACUGGCAUGACUACCAGUACAGGAUAAUUGCUCAAGCCUGUGACCCGAGGACCCUUAUUGGUUUGGCACGAAGCAAAGAAAGUGAUCUUCGGUUUUUUCUCCCACCCCCUCCUUUGCCUUCUUUAAAAGAAGACUCCUCCACUGAAGAGGAACUCAGGCAUCUGCUGGCCUCUCUGCCUCAGACAGAGCUUGAUGAGUGUCUCCAGUACUUUACAUCCUUGGCUCUUAGUGAAAGCAGCCAGAGCCUGGCUGCACAGAAGGGAGGACUGUGGUGUUUUGGAGGAAACGGACUGCCUUACGCAGAAAGCUUUGGAAAGGUUCCCUCAGCCACAGUGGAAAUGUUCUGUUUAGAAGCCAUAGUAAAGCAUUCGGAGAUACCCUCACACUGUGACCACAUUGAAGCAGGCGGUGGCUUGCAACUCCUGCAGAGGCUCUACCAGCUUCACAAGGACUGCCCCAAAGUACAGAGAAACGUCAUGAGGAUCAUCGGAAACAUGGCUUUGAACGAGCAUCUUCACCCUGCUAUAGUCCACUCAGGAUGGGUAUCUCUCAUGGCAGAAGCCUUGAAGUCCAGCCACAUUAUGGAGGCUUCCCACGCUGCCAGAACCCUGGCUAACCUGGACCGAGAAACUGUGGGUGAGAAAUACCAGGACGGAGUGUACGUGCUGCAUCCCCAGUGUCGGACAAGCAUUUAAAACCUGGCGGCAGCACGACAGCCAGCGGGCUCUGACUGAAAGUGCUGUGGUGGAUGAAGACAGGUACACUACAUGCUGGCCCAAGACAUGGCUAGCAAAGGACUGCCCCUCACUUCGCAUCAUAUCUGUGGAGUACGACACGAGUCUCAGCGACUGGAGGGCAAGGUGCCCUAUGGAGAGAAAGUCGAUUGCAUUCAGAAGCAACGAACUUCUCAGCAAGCUCAGGGCUGCUGGUGUUGGGGAUAGGCCAAUGAUUUGGAUCUCACACAGCAUGGGAGGUCUUCUUGUGAAGAAGAUGCUGUUGGAAGCCUCUAAGAAGCCCGAACUGAAUGCUCUUAUAAACAAUACCAGAGGAAUUAUUUUUUACAGUGUCCCUCACCAUGGGUCACGUUUGGCUGAAUACUCCGUUAAUAUUCGAUAUCUUCUCUUUCCCUCACUGGAAGUCAAAGAACUCAGCAAAGACUCUCCUGCACUGAAGACGCUACAGGACGACUUUCUGGAGUUCGCGAAAGACAAAAACUUCCAGGUGCUGAACUUUGUAGAAACACAACCGACAUUUAUCGGCAGCAUGAUUAAACUGCAUGUAGUGCCCGUGGAGUCAGCAGAUUUAGGCAUUGGGGAUCUAAUUCCUGUGGACGUCAACCACUUGAACAUUUGCAAGCCGAAGACAAAGGAUGCGUUUUUGUACCAACGUACUCUACAGUUCAUCUGCGAAACUUUAGCCAGAGAUCUUGAAAACUGAGAGAUACGUUCUUCCAUUUUUUUGUGUGAAUAUAGUGCGAGAAACGUGGCAUUCUCCAUCUGUUGUUAAGGUCUCCGCAGUCCUGUGCACUCACUGCGUGUGGGGUGCAGGCAGCAGAGCGCAGCUCUUCACGCAAGCACUGGGAGAUGCCCGAGUACACCUGGAGGCCACAGAGGAAGGCUUACAUUGAGAAACUCCUUGUGCUGGGCCUUGGGGUAGGGAGCAGAGCUGCUGUGGCCAGAGGGCCCGACCACCUGAGACUGUCCCAGCUCACCCAAGAGUCCUGACAGGCAAGCUAGCACACCAUGAGAAUGAAACUUGGGGAGAUCAAGCUAGAACUUACAGAGGCUGUGGUUGAUCUGGGUACCAUGUGCCAUGAUGUUUUACUGCCAGCUUUUAAUGUCAAUAUGCCAGGUGCACAGUUGACACUUUUACAGGGGCUCCUGUGCCUGCUUGUAUGUGCGGGCCAGGCUCUGCUUCUGGGUUUCUCACAGUGCUGAGAACGAUUGGGUUUUUUUUUAAGUAUUCCUUCUAAGAUAUUUUAAUUAGCUAUUGAAUAGUAUGCUCCAGAUAAGGUAAGGAUCAGGUUAUGACACACCUAUUUGAAGCAGUCAGGUAUGCUGACCACUCAGUAUUAAGCCUCUCCAAUUUUCUGGCUAUGUAAAGUACAGCUUCCCUUCAUGCCCCCUUAGAGGGAGGGUGGGAACGUGUGCUGAUGAUCGUUGUUGAGUUUUAGUAAUAGCAUUAUUAACAUGAAAGUCAGUGUGUGUGUGUGCGUGUGUGUGUGUGUGUGUGUGUGUGUGUGUGUGCGCGCGCGCGUGUGCGCGCACGUGCAUGUGUGUGGUGCUAGGGAUCAAACUGGAAACCUUGUGCAUGCUAUGUCCUCAGCCCCAAAUUUAUACAACUUUUAGUACAUUCAAAGUUACUAUCACCACUGUCCAAUUUCAGUGGAUUGUGUCAUCCCCAAAGCAGCUCUCUCACCAGCAGGCAGUCCCCUCCUCCGACCCCAACCCCAGGAAACACUAUUGCUUUCCCUCUCUGCGAGAUUGCCUAGUGAACAUUCAUAAAGUCGGUAGCGUCACCGUGGUGCUCUUAGCACAAUGGUUCUUUCUUGCAUCACUCUUUCUGCCUCUCUCUGCUUCCUCCCUGCCUUGCAGUGAGCAGUUUUGCCCAUUCUCCCAUGAUGCCCUGUCUCGCCAUGGGACCGGUGAUGACUGACUGAAACCUUGGGCAGCAGACAUCUUUUCUCCUUGACCUCUGCUGCCCAGGUGUUUGUCAUCGAGGUGAACAUGCUUUAAAACUGCGAUCUGAAAAGAGCUGUCUAGUGUAUUGCUAAAUUAGUGUUAGUGUUUCUCUGACAAGACAGUCGGCAUUUCUGCUCUGUCUAUAUGAUGGAAAGGCCACUCUCCAUUUAUCACAAAGGCUUGGUGAGGCGUAGAUGAUAACGUACACCAAGGUGGAUAAUAGAGCAAGAUGGAACAAAUCCAACACUGGCGGAAUCAUCCUGAACAAAGACAUCAUUGAAACCAAUGAGCACAAGAUAACUGCAAAACAGCAGCGCCUUAAAGACGGCACAGACACACGGUAGCUGCAGAAGGACCCCUCAAAGGCAAGGAACCCUCCUACCUCACCUACCUCACCUAAGCUGCCCUUGAGACUAGUGUGGGCAUAAUGAACAGAUGUGGUCAGGGGCAGGAACUCAAGCGUUGGCGAAGCCUGACAUUUGCUCUGCCUGAGUUCAUGUAAAUUAGAAUGUGAUGGAACGGCCUGGAACAUAAUCUGGUAUUUUAUCAUAAAUGCACAUAGAUUUCUGAAUAAUGCUGAUGAUAAUUUAUGGGUACAUUUGGAGGAUCUACAAACAAUCCACAACUAAAAAUAUUUUGGUGAAGAGAGGCCCUUACGUUCCUGUCACAGGGUCAGAGACAGCAAGGAUGAAGUUGCUGGGAAUUUGAGUUGGGAGGUGCAUGGGAGCAAGGAUCAAGGUCUUUCUUGGGCAGAGAAACAGCUCUGAUACUGCAACAUAGACGUUAUACCGUGCAGGGAGCGAAGCUGAAUGUGGAGCCAGGGCCAUCAGAGGUGAUGGUGUCAGCAUGGGGUCAUUAGUUGUAGACAUCCUAGGGCAGGGCAUCUCGGGAGCUCCCUGUGGGAACAGGUAAGUGUUCGGGAACCCUUAACUUUAAUUUCCCGCUGACACUACUCUUACUCAGUAUACCGCUGAGCCCAUCCCCUGCCACCUUGGUAUAAAGAUCCCACAGUCUGCUGAUUCCUCUCUUGGCCAGGUCUGAACAACACAGAGAGAAAUCUUACUGGUUUACCAUUUUGAAAUUACCAGUAUAUUCUUAAUCCUGAGAGACACAAUAUGAGUAACUAUGUUCUGUGAAUAAGCUUAGAAUAAACGUGUCCCAUCUGUUUCCAUGAAAAAAUGUAUAUAAAGCAUCCUCAGAGCCCAUCUAUUCCACAGAGUGUUGUAAGGGCCUUGCCCGAGUCUCACUGUGUGUGUGGUGUCAGCGAUCAUGAUAGCGGCUCUCACACAAUUCUCUAUUCACAUAUAAUUGCUGUGUGUGUGUUUGUGUGUGCGUGUGUGCAUGUAGCUCAGCGGGCAACAGUCAGGAGUUAGUUCUUCCACCAUGUGAGUCUUGGGGCUCAAACUCAGGUCUUCAGGCCUGACAGCAAGCACCUCUGAUGCUCAGCCACCCCUUGGGCCUUAAGCCAUAAUUGAUAAUCUAUCUUAUUCUCUUGCUUUUCAACCAAUUGUUGAGUCCCAAUUGUUGAGAGAUUGAGAGAGAGAACCAAAACAGCAUGCAGUAAGAACUAUCUAUUGCAUUUGAUAUCGAGGAAGGCUGGCCAAAAGAAUCCGAGGAGCCCCUUCAGAUCUGAAAAGACUCAAUUUUAAAAGAACGAAAACAUCUAACGCAUCCAACAUGAGAACAAAUUACCAAUCAAGAUACACUGCAGGCUUUGACUGGUCACUGAUCUCUGGGUAUAAGUUUCCCUUUCCGACAAAACGACCAUUUGAAAGCCAGCGCUUUAACAAUGUGUAAUUAGCUUACACAUGUCGUCAGGGAGAUUUUUUUUAAGUAUCUCAAACUAGCAACUUUAAACCUUUGUAUUUCAGUCACCUUAACAAAUAUCUUUAGCUCUGGGAAAUGAGUCUAUAUUACCGUCAGCGAGACUGAACUUGUCAGCAUUGCCCCUGAAAUACUGUGCUAAAAACGUGCAGUCAUCGUAACUAAGGCAGACCAAAAGCCAAAACAGACUGGACACAAAAUGGAAUCUUUGGGUGGUGGUUGCUCACUGCUGAAGUCAUUCAACCAACAGAUGCUAGCUUAAAACGCCCUACAGUUAAACAUUGGUUUAAAAAUAAGGCUAUUCCAACUGUUGUCCUGUUCCCCACCCCCACUUGACACCCUUACACUGUCUUGAAACUGGGUCUUACUAUGUAGCUCUGGCUGUCUGGAACAAUGUAGGCCAGGUUGGCCUUGAACUCACAGAGAACCCCCUGCCUCUGACUCCUGAGUAAUGGAUUAAAGAUGUAUGCUACCA